rnacentral:misc_RNA from 1 species
UCUCCGUUGGUGAACCAGCGGAGGGAUCAUUAUUGAGUUACCGCUCUACAUCCCUUUGUGAACAUACCUAACUGUUGCUUCGGCGGGCAGAGGUCCCUCGCGGAUCUCUCCCGGCAACGCCCUCACGGGCGGAGCGCCCGCCGGAGGAUACCAAACUCUAUUUUAACGACGUUUCUUCUGAGUGGCACAAGCAAAUAAUUAAAACUUUUAACAAUGGAUCUCUUGGUUCUG